GGGUGGGUAUCACCAAUAUGCACCUUCGCGUAAAAACGUUAGUGACUUUUUCAGGCAAGAAUAAAAAGUGCUGCUGAAUAAAAUAAAAUAAAACACUCAAAGAAGGGCAAGUCACUCUUAGAGGUUGCAUUGAGCUCAUAUAAAGAGAAUAAGCAUGAUUAAAUCAAAAACCUUUUUCUUGACCAUGGUAGGUGAGGGGAAACAAGGAAAAGAAGAAACAACCUUGGUGCAUGUACUCUAUACUGUGAUACUUCAAUUUAGGAGUCUAGGGGGGCUGAUUAAGUGGUACUUAG
rnacentral:lncRNA from 1 species